rnacentral:sRNA from 1 species
UCACUUACAGCUGAUGAAGCUAGACUGGUC